UGGGAACAUGUGAUGUCAGUUGGUGCAAGGUCUGGUGAAUAUGAUAGAUGACAGAGUGCUUCCAAGUUCAGUUCCUGUAACAUGAGUAAUGUUCUUUGUGCAUUGUGUGGUCAAGCAUUGUCAUGCAAGAGAAUUGGCCUGUCUCUGUUGACCAAUCUUGGUUGUUUAAUUGCAAGUUCAUUCAUCAUUUCAUCCAAUUGGUUGAUGCAUACAUCCACUGUAAUUGACUUACCAGGUCCCAUGAAGCUGUAGUGGAUGAUACCAGCACUGGACCACCAAACAGACACCAUUAGCUUUUCUUGGUGAAUAUUCUUUUGGGGAUUGUGUUUUGGUACUUUAUCUUUAUCCA